GUCUGAGACAGGGAAUCAGAUAUCAGCAGAGUCAAUGCUUCUCUCAUUAGAGAUGGACUCAAUUGGAGUGGGCACAGUUGGGGGAGAGGACUUCUUCCUGUGAAUUAAGCAAUUGGACACAAUGGGCUCCCGAGUGGUGCAGCGGUCUAAGGCACUGCAUCUUAGUGCUAGAGGCAUCACUACAGACCCUGAUUCGAUUCCAGGCUGCAUCACAACUGGCUGUGAUUGGGAGUCCCUUAGGGCAGUGCACAAUUGGCCCAGCGUUGGCCGGUGUAGGCCGUCAUUCUAUAUUCAGUAAUGGUGUCACGACUUCGCCGAAAUCGGUCCCUCUCCUUGUUCUCCGGCGUUCGGCGGUCGACGUCACCAGCCUUCUAGCCAUCGCCGAUCCACUUUUCAUUUUCCAUUUGUUUUGUCUUUGUUUUACACACCUGGUUUCAAUGUAUGUUCGGUCCGUUAUUGUGGGCUCGGUAU